GUACCCGCGGCAAGACGGAAAGACCCCGUGAACCUUUACUAUAGCUUGACACUGAACAUUGAGCCUUGAUGUGUAGGAUAGGUGGGAGGCUUUGAAGUGUGGACGCCAGUCUGCGUGGAGCCAACCUUGAAAUACCACCCUUUAAUGUUUGAUGUUCUAACGUUGGCCCCUAAUCCGGGUUGCGGACAGUGUCUGGUGGGUAGUUUGACUGGGGCGGUCUCCUCCUAAAGAGUAACGGAGGAGCACGAAGGUUGGCUAAGCAUGGUCGGACAUCAUGCGGUUAGUGCAAAGGCAUAAGCCAGCUUGACUGCGAGAGUGACGGCUCGAGCAGGUACG
rnacentral:rRNA from 1 species